rnacentral:rRNA from 1 species
GCGACCUGCGGGCAGGAGGGGGCGGUAAGAGGUGGGGGGAGAGGGUGUUCGGGGUUGAUUUGGCGGAAAGGGGUGGUGGGCGGGUUGUGGCGGCGGUUGGGAAGGCCCGGGGGUGAACCCCGGGUCUGCAGUCGGUACGGGCAGGCUAGAGGGUGGUAGGGGAGAGCGGAAUUCCUGGUGUAGCGGUGAAAUGCGCAGAUAUCAGGAGGAACACCGGUGGCGAAGGCGGAUCUCUGGGCCAUUACUGACGCUGAGGAGCGAAAGCGUGGGGAGCGAACAGGAUUAGAUACCCUGGUAGUC